GGCGGGGGAGGCCGCCAUGGCGGCCGCGGCGGCGGGGCCGCGGGUCUCGGCGUGGCCCGGGUGGGAGCGGCCGGCAGCGGCCUCCUGCCGCCACCUCCUGGGGGUGGGGCGGUCCCCCGGCCUCCCGCGUAGCCGGGAGAGUGCUGGAGUAAGGGAGCGCGCCCUGGAGAAGUAGAAAGGCAGGCAGGGUCUGAGUGAAAAAAGAUAGCUGAAAACCUGGAGCUUGGCAGUGGAGUGCCGUGCCUUCCUGACAUGGCCCCGCACGGCGUGGGACGGGGCGCAGCUGUGGGCUGGCAGGUGCCAACGCUGUUCCACACAUGGCAGUUCCCUGGCGUAUUCAGGCCCCACAAGGCGGACCUGAUGCAGGAGCUGAGCUCAUCGAGCUGCUCAGUCCCUCCCAGGGGCAGCGGUGGUGGGGACACAGGGACUGGCUCCCUGCAAACCCGUGCCUACUAAUGUGGGGGCCUUCCCAUGGAAAGCGAACAUGUGCUGCUGGUUUCGCUGGUAUCCCGGAGUAAUCAAGCACUGGAAGAGAAAAAGUCCGAAGUGAAUGUACCUCAGUCACUUUGGUGUGCUUCUGAUAGACCAGUGUCUCACCUGAGCUCCUGAGUAAGGCCUUUUGCACAGUCAAGGAACAAAAGCGAUUAUUUCAAGGAUAUCACUCGCUCUGCCUGUCUUGGGGCAGAGUGGAUGACGCUCGAGCUGCCUGCCUGGUUUUCUUAGGCAGAAAGGCAAUUUAUGUAGUUGAUUUAGAUUAGAGGCAAACCAUGGUCUUUGCUGACACGUCAACUUAAAAGUAUCCAUAAGUCCUACCUUUCUUACAGCAAAGGUAUCCCUAGAGAACAGGGGUGUAGGCUAUAAAAUGUGUUCGGGUAUAAAACAGGAUGCCUGCCUGUUCACCCAGCAUGGGAACUCCUUCAAGAUCUUUCUCCAGCUUCAUCCUGUCCAUGGGAAGCCACCACAGACCUCUAGUACUUACUUCUGUUUGAAAAAGCUCAACUUUACUUUGCUGCAUCUAUAAGGGAACAAGGGACAUUGGAAACUAAUACCCUUAUGUACACUUUUUCAUGCCACCAAGAAGCACUUGACUGCCAGGAAAUCCAGUAUCUGAGACAGUUACUUAAACAGGAGCUAGAGGAGGCUAAAGAUGCCUGCAUAUGGUUAGUUUGGGCUUAUUAUCAUCCUUGAAAGUUUGUUGAAAACUGGACAGUGUAACAAGCCAACCAAAUGAACUGCCAGCUUCAUAGGUACUUCAGUGAGGACCUCUCAAUUACAAAAUAUACUUUGGUUUCCUUGGAGAGGGAACAGCACAUCCAGUCAGUAGACAGAAAACCAUCAGAGCCCAAAAUCCUCUGGAGACUGUUUUCUAGUAAUCUGAAAUGUUCCUGGCUCAUAGUCACCAACUUGUAAGUUAACUCCCCCUAAGCAAGUAAAAAGGGUCACUAAGCUUGGGAUUCUGAUGUUCUUUGAAGGGACAGGCAUACAGAAAUUAGGCAUUGUGAUAAGAAUCUAAGUUUGGGUUUGAAUCUGGCCUUUAAUCCUUUGCAAAAGCUGGUGUCUAGUGGAAAUAAUUCAGGCAAGCACUGUGUCAGUCUACUUCGCUCUCAUCUUUGUAGCUACCUUUGAUCCUUGGAUAUACAAUGACCAGCAAGAAAACAUUGCCUCUAAGGCUUCCCCACAUAAAAUGUAUGAAUAUAAUUGUGGUAGCAAAUUCUGUGUUUGACAGUUCGUUAUCUAAACUGCUUUCCAGCCAUUCAGAAGCGCAGUGCUGUAAGUAAAUGAAAUUUGUGGUCACCAAAGGAUUUAAUGACUACAUUUUCUGCACUGGAUAUGACUUCUCUACCUCUGACAGGUUUUGAACAUUCCCAUGUUGAAAGAAGUGUGCUGUUAUCACACUUCUGUGGCAAUAUUCAGAGUAACUCUACUAAAUAAAUAAAAAAGCUGCUGACAUUUCCAGUUCCAGAGUUUGCAGACUUGAAAUCAUAAGGCCUUUAAAAAGAAUUAGAUCCCGUCUCUUCAGGAGUGACUGAAAUAUUCUUUCAGGCACCUUUCAGGCAAUUUAUAUUUCAUUUCAUGGCAGGAGUUAGGGGAGUCCAAACUACGAAGUAAAACUCUGAUGUGAGGAAACCAUUUCCUCUGAAAUAUGCAGUGGCUUCUAUAUAUAAGGUGUCUUCUAUGUAAGGCACGACACCUGUAGGUUCUUAAUUUUAAAAACACAAAAUAAGGAGUAGUCUUUAGUCAUACGUGAAAUCAGUACUUUAACUGAAAAAGUUCCUGUUGCCAUAUUAUAGUGAUGCUCUCUAUCAUCUCUAUGAUCUGUAGAUACAAAACACUUAAUAGGAACUAAAUAAUAGAAAUAUAAAAAAUAUGAAAAUAGGCAUAUAUAUUCUGUGGAUUAAUAUAAAAAUGCAUUUUAACAUCAAUAAUCUUUAAAUAUACAGAGAUUUUUAUGUUAAUAAAGUAAUACAAAUCUAAUUCCCUUAUUUAUUCAUGCAUCAGAAGUACAGAGUGCUAACAGCCCUUUUGGCUUAUAAAAACUUAAGUUCUUCAGAGUACUAUAGAUGUUUUCAUAUACAAUAACUCCAAAAGUUCAGAGGUUUAGCUUGUGCUUGGUUCGCAGUAGUCUUAUCUAACUCAGUUUAAUGACCUUUGAUGUCUAGAAAGAAUGAGUUGUAUUUUUUCACAUUUUUAUGGUUUCAUGUACUCACAUGGGAGCUGAAUGUUACUAGCCAAGACAGAGCUCUCAAUCCUUACUGACAUUUUUGAGAUUUUAUUUCUGCUGGCUGCUCUCCAAAGCAAUUGUACUCAUAAACAAUCUUUGUCAAUGUGUAAAGCUACAAUUUUUAAGUAUUAAAGAUUUUUCUUUGAAAGAUGACAUUUCCUUAAAUGUCCAUAGAUCUCUUUUUUACUUAGCUUUCUCCCUUUAAUUUUUUAAUAGAAAAAGUAGUUGUACAAGAGAAUAGAACUUUUGGAGACAUUCAUCUUUUUGCUGAACCUAUCCAACCUAUCAGUCCAUGUUUAUAUCAUACAGAAAAUUUUUUUUUUUUGUUUUAUUUGCAUGUUUGUUUUUUAGUUUUUUUUGUUUUAAGUGAGUUACUUUUUUUGUAAACUGCCAGGUUAGUCUAAGACAUGAAUUUUUUCCAUCUGUCCUUCUAUCUCUUCAUCUUUUUAUUUAGGAAAAUUAAUUUGCCAUUGUAAUUGGAUGUAAGCAUUCAUUUCUAUUUGUAGGUUUUCUGCUGAUAUUAAAUGUGAUUCUGUUUUUGCAUAGUGAAUGUAAUCCACCAGUUCCUGACUUGAGGCCCCUAGUGUCUCCCAGAAAAAAACAUGUAAGCAUUACAGACCUCAGAUGUAUCUGAGUGGAUGAUCUGGAGAUGAUGAAAUCUGCCUUUGCUCUGUGUAGAAUGGUCUAAUGAUAUUCUUCCUGAUACUCCUUGUCUACUCUAUAGUGAGUUUUUUUCAGGAGGCAUCAAUAUGGUUUUAUUUAAUGUCACAAAAAUAAUCCAGACCUGAAGACUCACUCUCCUUCUGUCCUUCACAAAUAGCAAAUGUCUGUCAAUUGCUGAGCCUCUGAAAGCUGAGGAACUUCUGCCUUUCCACAUAACUACACCUACUAGUGCUUCAACCAAUCAGCAGGUCAGCUUCAUAUUACUCUUAUUUGACUGUGCCUCAAAAAAGAUCAAGUUUUAUAUGAAUGUUAAAUCCUUUAUUUUUUACUGUUGACUCCUUCAUAGUUAAUUUAAUCGAACUGAGCCAUUGCCACUUGAAAACUGAGGCCUAUAAAAGCUCUCAGAGCAGGUGGUCUUUAAGAUCUGAGCAUUUUCCUCUGGUGUUGAGCCCACAAAAAAUUAAUAAUGAAUUUGCUGUGAACAUUUAAUUACUUUGUGUGACCAUAGUAUUUCUAUACACCAGACCUAAGCUAUGGGACUGUGUAUCUCACCUACUCUCUGUUGCUGCAGGAAGAAGAUAGGUGACAUAGCUGGAGAAAAGGGCUCUAUGUGGCCCUGCUUGAGCACUGGGCUUGAACCAGAUGACCUCCAUGAUCAAGCUCAACCAUCCCAUGAUUCUAUUAAAGGCUUUUGGCAGAGUGUUUGAAGUAUUUGUAGCUGUUGCAUGUGUAUCAUUAAGCCUGAGAUUGCAAGUCAUAGAAUUGAGUGUUGCUUUUUUGUACUGACAUAGCAGUUGUUUAACAGGUUUUCUUGAAAGCCAAGGUCAGAGUAAGUUGUUGCAGUCAAAACUGAAAUCAAAACAGUCUCCUUGGGUUUUAUUAUUGUUUAAAUAUAGAGACAUUAGCUGUGGUGGAUAUUUAACAGCAUACAUCACUCUUCUGAAGUCACCCUAUCCUAAGUCUAUAUUGUGUAUCUCUAAAUGGCCUUGUGUUUUAAAUAAUAAAAUGGGUCAGUUUUGUAAUACAAGGUGCUCAUGUUUUGGAACCUCAAUAGCUUUUACUAAUGCAGGGACAGCUUGUUGUUUACUUGCUCAUUAGCUUGUACUAAUGCGGGGGCAGGAUUGCCCCACUUUGCCAAUGGCAGCAACAUUAAGCUUAGCCCCUGCUUGUGUCUAUAGGAAGGAUGACUGGGAAAGGGCUCAGGGUCUAAUUAAUACCUCCUCUUCUUCCCAAAAUAGGGUGAAGCAGGGAAGGAAAGACAUAGCUCAUAGCUCUGCCCCUAUGACACCAACCAGCAUAUUUUCAUCUUCCAGAAGUCUUCUUAGCGCAGUCAGCAAGUUCUGUGUCAUUCUGGUCUGUGCGAGCAAACGAUUAUGGGCAGAGAGCCACACCUGGAUUUGUGCCUGCACAUAGGAUACGGAGCUCUGCGGCUUCUCUUCCCAUUAAAUUGAACCAGUCAGUACUUUUGUGGAUAUAUGUGGAACAACCACCUACUUGAAUGGCAAAGAAGAAAAUGAAUAGUAUUAAAAUGUACUCUCAUACAAGCCUUCUGUAUUUUUCAUUAAAAGCCUGACUAGUAAAAUUGA